UUUCGCAAUGCCCGAAAGGGUGACGAAGCGACGCCGCGUGUGGGAAGUAGGCCUUCGGGUUGUAAACCACUGUCGGGAGUUAAGAAAGGUGUACGGGUAAAUAGUCCGUGCAUUUGACAAAAGCUCCGGAGGAAGCCACGGCUAACUCUGUGCCAGCAGCCGCGGUAAUACAGAGGUGGCAAGCGUUGUUCGGAAUUAUUGGGCGUAAAGAGCACGUAGGCGGCCCUGCAAGUCAGCUGUGAAAGCCUCCUGCUUAACGGGAGAAGUGCAGUUGAAACUACGGGGCUAGAGUGCGGAAGGGGAGAGUGGAACUUCUGGUGGAGCGGUGAGAUGCGUAGAUAUCAGAAGGAACACCGGCGGCGAAAGCGGCUCUCUGGUCCGUAACUGACGCUGAGGUGCGAAAGCCAGGGGAGCAAACGGGAUUAGAUACCCCGGUAGUCCUGGCCGUAAACGAUGGGCACUAAGUAGAGGGGUUUU
rnacentral:rRNA from 1 species